UGUUUUCUUCAACAGUUUUCGACAUUAGAACUCAAGACUGACAGCAAGGUUUUGCAACUGAAGGGUUGGUUUGUUAAGAGGAAUAACAAGGUGAUGUGACACUUCUUACUGUAAAGCAGUGUACUUUCCAUGGAGAGCAUCACAUGGUAUCGACUGAUGGUAGUCGUAGCACAAGACAAGAUGUGGUGAUCUGUCAUCUGUGAAAAGACACGACUAACUAUGAAACAGUCGGUUGGCAUAGGAACCUUAAAUGUCCUCUUUAUUAUCAUGAGCAGCACGAGUUCGAACUACUAUACCACAGCAACGUUUACCUGCCCUGACGUAUCCUACAUCGAGGACUCUGCUCUGAUGAAUUGUUCAACGUCGACACCUUACACCGCUCUUCAAUACACUGGUCCACGUUCAACUCCUGGUCCACAGUGUAUAGCAUCAUUACGGUUGUGUACACCUAUAGAAGCAUAUAAUGCAAGUAUCAUCAACCAAACCCACAGUAGCCUCCGUAUACUGACCGUGGAACCACAUCACGCAGGACAGUGGACAUGUGCUGAUAUUCCAAAUGGUCCUCUUGCAUCCUGCGAUGUUGUCG